UUAAUACUUCCUCCGUUCCGAAUUACUUGUCCUCAAAAUGGAUGUAUCUAGAACUAAAAUACAUCUAGAUACAUCCAUUUCAAUGACAACUAUUUCCGAACGGAGGGAGUAUCAU
rnacentral:pre_miRNA from 1 species